rnacentral:rRNA from 1 species
UGGGGAACGAGUUACUCCCAACCCCUGUGACAUACCUAUCGUUGCCUCGGCGGUGCCCGCUCCGGCGGCCCGCCAGAGGACCCCCAAACUCUUGUUUUAUACAGUAUCUUCUGAGUAACACGAUUAAAUAAAUCAAAACUUUCAACAACGGAUCUCUUGGUUCUGGCAUCGAUGAAGAACGCAGCGAAAUGCGAUAAGUAAUGUGAAUUGCAGAAUUCAGUGAAUCAUCGAAUCUUUGAACGCACAUUGCGCCCGCCAGUAUUCUGGCGGGCAUGCCUGUUCGAGCGUCAUUUCAACCCUCAAGCCCCCGGGCUUGGUGUUGGGGAUCGGCGUGCCCUCGCGGCGCGCCGUCCCCUAAAUCUAGUGGCGGUCUCGCUGUAGCUUCCUCUGCGUAGUAGCAACACUCGCACUGGAUCGCAGCGCGGCCACGCCGUUAAACCCCCCACUUCUGAAAGUUUGACCUCGGAUCAGGUAGGAAUACCCGCUGAACUUAAGCAUAUCAAUAAGUGGAGGAAGCGAGACCGCCACUAGAUUUAGGGGACGGCGCGCCGCGAGGGCACGCCGAUCCCCAACACCAAGCCCGGGGGCUUGAGGGUUGAAAUGACGCUCGAACAGGCAUGCUCGCCAGAAUACU